GACGAACGCUGGCGGCGUGCUUAACACAUGCAAGUCGAACGGAAAGGCCCUGCUUUUGUGGGGUGCUCGAGUGGCGAACGGGUGAGUAACACGUGAGUAACCUGCCCUUGACUUUGGGAUAACUUCAGGAAACUGGGGCUAAUACCGGAUAGGAGCUCCUGCUGCAUGGUGGGGGUUGGAAAGUUUCGGCGGUUGGGGAUGGACUCGCGGCUUAUCAGCUUGUUGGUAGGGUAGUGGCUUACCAAGGCUUUGACGGGUAGCCGGCCUGAGAGGGCGACCGGCCACAUUGGGACUGAGAUACGGCCCAGACUCCUACGGGAGGCAGCAGUGGGGAAUAUUGCACAAUGGGCGGAAGCCUGAUGCAGCAACGCCGCGUGCGGGAUGACGGCCUUCGGGUUGUAAACCGCUUUCGCCUGUGACGAAGCGUGAGUGACGGUAAUGGGUAAAGAAGCACCAGCUAACUACGUG
rnacentral:rRNA from 1 species